GAUGAACGCUAGCUACAGGCUUAACACAUGCAAGUCGAGGGGCAGCAUGGUCUUAGCUUGCUAAGGCCGAUGGCGACCGGCGCACGGGUGAGUAACACGUAUCCAACCUGCCGUCUACUCUUGGACAGCCUUCUGAAAGGAAGAUUAAUACAAGAUGGCAUCAUGAGUUCACAUGUUCACAUGAUUAAAGGUAUUCCGGUAGACGAUGGGGAUGCGUUCCAUUAGAUAGUAGGCGGGGUAACGGCCCACCUAGUCUUCGAUGGAUAGGGGUUCUGGGAGGAAGGUCCCCCACAUUGGAACUGAGACCCGGUCCAAACUCCUACGGGAGGCAGCAGUGAGGAAUAUUGGUCAAUGGGCGAGGGCCUGAACCAGCCAAGUAGCGUGAAGGAUGACUGCCCUAUGGGUUGUAAACUUCUUUUAUAAAGGAAUAAAGUCGGGUAUGUAUACCCGUUUGCAUGUACUUUAUGAAUAAGGAUCGGCUAACUCCGUG
rnacentral:rRNA from 1 species